UGGCUCAGAACGAACGCUGGCGGCAGGUCUUAGGCAUGCAAGUCGAACGGAUGACAAGGGAGCUGCUUCCUGAAGUCAGUGGCGCACGAGUGAGUAACGCGUAGGAAACUGCCCUUCACUGGGGAAUAACGUUUGGAAACGAACGCUAAUACCGCAUACGCCCGCAAGGGGAAAGAUUUAUCGGUGAUGGAUGUGCCCGCGUUGGAUUAGCUAGUUGGUGGGGUAAUGGCCUACCAAGGCGAUGAUCCAUAGCUGGUCUGAGAGGACGAUCAGCCACGCUGGAACUGAGACACGGUCCAGACUCCUACGGGAGGCAGCAGCUAAGAAUAUUGGGCAAUGGAGGAAACUCUGAACCCCCGGCCAUGCCGCGUGAAUGAAGAAGGCCUUCGGGUUGUAAAGUUCUUUUAGUCAUGAAGAUGAUGACAGUAGUGACAGAAAAAGCACCGGCUAACUUCGUGCCAGCCGCCGC
rnacentral:rRNA from 1 species